GUACUUCCGGGGUUACUCAUCUGCAGCAACGCAACAUUACCACAAAAACUUGUCAGUUCCAGGGAUGUGGAAAAGGAGCAAGAGGCGUUUCUGGACUAUGCAUAGCCCAUGGUGGGGGACGAAGAUGCCAGAGACCUGGCUGUCACAAGGGAGCUGAGGGUAGGACCAUCUUUUGCAAGGCCCAUGGAGGUGGUUGGCGAUGCCAACACCUUGGCUCCACGAAGAGUGCCGAUGAAGGCUGCACUGAUUAUUGCAUUGCUCAUGGCUCAACAACUGCUUGCACCAUGUCUUCGGUGAAGGAGACUGAUGAGGAAUCCUCAGCCGAUCUGGGUUUGAAUUUUCAGCUUCAUCUUGGCGAUGAGAAUAUGCCUAGCCCUAAGAAAUCCUCUGUUGCUGCUCAGGCAUCAGGAAGUGAACUGAUUUAUGACCUCCAGCUAGGUCUAUCAACUGGCCCAUCUGAAUCUGUUAUUACUGGUAUCAGCCCAGUGUCCGAUCAACUUCAGAACAGCCUGGACACAUCAGCAGUGAUUGGUCAAGUGCCAAAAGUUGAUGAAGGAUUAGCAUCAUCUCGCUGGAUAUUUGGGAGUUAUGUGGCACCCUCUUUAUAUAUUUCAGAGACAACUAGCAGCUUUCCUUCCAACCAAAAGAUUCAUGCUAAAGCUGAUCCAGUUGCAGUUGUCCCAGACCUCACAUCAACCAAGAUACAAACAUUGAAAAGCCCAGUUGCCUGUACUUCUGGGGUUACUCAUCUGCAGCAACGCAGCAUUACCACAAAAACUUGUCAGUUCCAGGGAUGUGGAAAAGGAGCAAGAGGUGCUUCUGGACUGUGCAUAGCCCAUGGUGGGGGACGAAGAUGCCAGAGACCUGGCUGUCACAAGGGAGCCGAGGGUAGGACCAUCUUUUGCAAGGCCCAUGGAGGUGGUCGGCGUUGCCAACACCUUGGCUGCACAAAAAGCGCUGAAGGCCGCACUGAUUAUUGCAUUGCUCAUGGUGGUGGCCGGCGCUGCAGCCAUGAAGGCUGCAUCCGAGCUGCUAGGG
rnacentral:lncRNA from 1 species